AUUGAACGCUGGCGGCAGGCCUAACACAUGCAAGUCGAGCGGAUGAAGGGAGCUUGCUCCUGGAUUCAGCGGCGGACGGGUGAGUAAUGCCUAGGAAUCUGCCUGGUAGUGGGGGAUAACGUCCGGAAACGGGCGCUAAUACCGCAUACGUCCUGAGGGAGAAAGUGGGGGAUCUUCGGACCUCACGCUAUCAGAUGAGCCUAGGUCGGAUUAGCUAGUUGGUGGGGUAAAGGCCUACCAAGGCGACGAUCCGUAACUGGUCUGAGAGGAUGAUCAGUCAGACUGUAACUGAGAAGCGGUCCCGACUCCGACGGGAGGAAGCAGUGGGGAAUAUUAGGCGAUGGGCGAAAGCCUGAUACAGCCAUGCCGCGUGUGUGAAGAAGGUCCUCGGAUUGGAAAGCACUGUAAGUUGGGAGGAAGGAAAGUAAGUUAACACCUUGCUGUUUUGACGUUACCAACAGAAUAAGCACCGGCUAACUUCGUG
rnacentral:rRNA from 1 species